CUUGAACAGCUCUGUUCUCUCUGGACACUAAAAUAUGUCUUAAUACAGAUAGAAAUGCAGCCAAAGUGAGCUGAGAAUGUACAGAAAUCUAAUAACUCAGCUACUUUAGAAGGUUUGGAUGCACAUGACCACCUACUCUGACCUAAAAUGAUGUCAAUACAUUUCACACAUCUUAAAUGUCCAACUAGUCGUGUCUGCAGUGAGCAUACAGCAUGAACAACCUCCAGACCACAGGUGAAGUGUUGGAACUGUCCAGUUGAGCAGAACAUGUCAUGGAGGCUUGAUGCUGCUGUUGUACCCACAUUCUCAUCAAAACACUUCCCCUUCACUUCUCUGACAGAAAUAAGUUCAGAGACAGAAGGAGGAACCAACACAUGUGUUAGUGGUCUGAGGCCUGUUAGUGGUCAGUGUCACAAAUACACUGUGGGAAUGGUAAAUAUGUAAACUUGAGACUCAGUCAUACAUGUCAUAUUUUUCCAGCAUUAGAUUGGCUCAGUGGAUGGAGAAACACAUUCCUUUGCCUUGUAAUCAGUGAAAAUGGUGAUGAUUUUUCACAAUUCAGAUUUUGACUGAAUAAUAAAUAGACAGAAACAACAGAAGACGAACUGCUUUAAGGCCUCAGCUACAUUGAUGCAACAACUGAUUGGUUAGAAACAAGACUGACACUGACAGAAGUGACACCUUACUGUAAUUCAGCAAAAUUACGAACGUGAGAUGGAAGAGAAGAUCGAUGGACUCAUUCAGGCGGAAUCAAAUGGUUUUAUCUCUUUUUUUCCCUGCUGCUUCACGUCACAGUAGCUGUUCUGAUCAAACCCUUUGCUGCCACACCUGGAGUUCAGGUCAAUCUGCCUGAACUCCAGGUUCAGAGGGGAAGAUUCAUAAAGAUGCCAGAGUUAAAUCAGACAGACUGACACUUGAACCUGACUGCUCUCUGGUUAUAAAGACGGUCACAGCUGAGGAUGAUGGUCGUUACAGCUGCAGACACUUCAGAUCAGGAGAAAGACACGGUGAAGACACUGAUUAUGAUCUGACUGUUGUCACAGGCGAGGCCACAAAACCAACCAGAGCCAAAGCAACGACAACACCAACCAGUAAAUCAACCAGAUCUACAGCAGCAGCAGCAGCAGAAAGCACACCAUCAGAGACAACCACAGCAGCAUCUACGAUCACUGAUCUAAAACAAGGUGACCACACACGUCACAUUUCUCUGUUUCUCUCAAAUAUUGUUGCUGCUCACCUCUCCAUCCACCAGACAGUCAUCAAAUAUAAGACAUGUAUACGAUGCAGCAUAAGAACACAUCGCAGCUCAUCAUCACAGCUCCACUGACAGCAUUUCACCCUCCUUGAUUCUCUCUCCAGCUUGGUGGUGGUUCGUCAUCGUGGCCGCUGGUGUAGCAGCGCUCAUAAUAACUGUUGUUGCGCUCGUCAGAUGGAGGAGAACUGAAGGUGAGAACGUUCACAGGUUGAACUUUGUACCAGGAUUUUCACUGCAGAAGCUCACAGUGACACAUUUUGUCUUCUCAGGGAACAAAACACAGAUGGAAGAAAACACUGUGAGUUUACAUCAUACAAACUAUAUACCAGCUGUUGAAUGUGACUCCUGGAAUUACACCAGUCGAGCUGAAAUGAAGUGGAGAGAUGAAAGAGCGAGUCAUUUUAGAACUACGUGUUACUGAGCAGCCAUGUUGACUCCUCUGUGCAGGCUGAUCCUGAAGAUGGUGUUCACUACACCUCCGUCAGCUUCACCAGGAAGACCGACAGUGAAG
rnacentral:lncRNA from 1 species